UUGCUUCAGCAGCAUGUAUACUAAAAUUGGAACGACACAAAGAAGAUCAUUAUGGCCCCAUACAAGGAUGACACGCAAAAUCGUGCAACGUUCCAUAUUUUC
rnacentral:snRNA from 1 species